GACGAACGCUGGAGGCGUGCUUAACACAUGCAAGUCGAACGAUGAAGCCGGAGCUUGCUCUGGUGAAUUAGUGGCGAACGGGUGAGUAACACGUGAGUAACCUGCCCUUGACUCUGGGAUAACUGCGGGAAACUGUAGCUAAUACCGGAUACGACCCUCGGAGGCAUCUCCUGGGGGUGGAAAGAAUUUUGGUCAAGGAUGGACUCGCGGCCUAUCAGCUAGUUGGUGAGGUAAAGGCUCACCAAGGCGACGACGGGUAGCCGGCCUGAGAGGGUGACCGGCCACACUGGGACUGAGACACGGCCCAGACUCCUACGGGAGGCAGCAGUGGGGAAUAUUGCACAAUGGGCGCAAGCCUGAUGCAGCAACGCCGCGUGAGGGAUGACGGCCUUCGGGUUGUAAACCUCUUUUAGUAGGGAAGAAGCGAAAGUGACGGUACCUGCAGAAAAAGCACCGGCUAACUACGUGCCAGCAGCCGCCGUAA
rnacentral:rRNA from 1 species